rfam:Ornithobacterium rhinotracheale DSM 15997, complete genome.
UACUUUUGCACCUCAAAACAUACAUAAUAAUCAUUUAAAACAAUAUUGGAAUG